UACAGAGGUCUCAAGCGUUGUUCGGAUUCAUUGGGCGUAAAGGGUGCGUAGGCGGCGCGGUAAGUCGGGUGUGAAAUCUUGGAGCUUAACUCCGAAACUGCAUUCGAUACUGCCGUGCUUGAGGACUGGAGAGGAGACUGGAAUUUACGGUGUAGCGGUGAAAUGCGUAGAUAUCGUAAGGAAGACCAGUGGCGAAGGCGGGUCUCUGGACAGUUCCUGACGCUGAGGCAC
rnacentral:rRNA from 1 species